UUUUUUUUUUAAUUCUUUUUUUUUUUGUGACUUUUUUUUUUUUUUUUUUCUACUA
rnacentral:ribozyme from 1 species